rnacentral:tRNA from 1 species
UAGCUCAGCUGGUUAGAGCCUGGUGCUAAUAACACCGAGGGCAUGGGUUCGAUCCCUGU